rnacentral:rRNA from 1 species
UGGGUAGGGGAGCGUUCUGUAAGCCUGUGAAGGUGGCCUGUGAGGGUUGCUGGAGGUAUCAGAAGUGCGAAUGCUGACAUAAGUAACGAUAAAGCGGGUGAAAAGCCCGCUCGCCGGAAGACCAAGGGUUCCUGUCCAACGUUAAUCGGGGCAGGGUGAGUCGACCCCUAAGGCGAGGCCGAAAGGCGUAGUCGAUGGGAAACGGGUUAAUAUUCCCGUACUUGGUGUUACUGCGAAGGGGGGACGGAGAAGGCUAUGUUGGCCGGGCGACGGUUGUCCCGGUUUAAGCGUGUAGGUGUGUGUUCCAGGUAAAUCCGGUUCACUUUAACACUGAGGCGUGAUGACGAGGCACUACGGUGCUGAAGCAACAAAUGCCCUGCUUCCAGGAAAAGCCUCUAAGCAUCAGGUAACAUCAAAUCGUACCCCAAACCGACACAGGUGGUCAGGUAGAGAAUACCAAGGCGCUUGAGAGAACUCGGGUGAAGGAACUAGGCAAAAUGGUGCCGUAACUUCGGGAGAAGGCACGCUGACACGUAGGUGAAGUGAUUUACUCAUGGAGCUGAAGUCAGUCGAAGAUACCAGCUGGCUGCAACUGUUUAUUAAAAACACAGCACUGUGCAAACACGAAAGUGGACGUAUACGGUGUGACGCCUGCCCGGUGCCGGAAGGUUAAUUGAUGGGGUCAGCGCAAGCGAAGCUCCUGAUCGAAGCCCCGGUAAACGGCGGCCGUAACUAUAACGGUCCUAAGGUAGCGAAAUUCCUUGUCGGGUAAGUUCCGACCUGCACGAAUGGCGUAAUGAUGGCCAGGCUGUCUCCACCCGAGACUCAGUGAAAUUGAACUCGCUGUGAAGAUGCAGUGUACCCGCGGCAAGACGGAAAGACCCCGUGAACCUUUACUAUAGCUUGACACUGAACAUUGAGCCUUGAUGUGUAGGAUAGGUGGGAGGCUUUGAAGUGUGGACGCCAGUCUGCAUGGAGCCGACCUUGAAAUACCACCCUUUAAUGUUUGAUGUUCUAACGUGGACCCGUAAUCCGGGUUGCGGACAGUGUCUGGUGGGUAGUUUGACUGGGGCGGUCUCCUCCUAAAGAGUAACGGAGGAGCACGAAGGUUGGCUAAUCCUGGUCGGACAUCAGGAGGUUAGUGCAAUGGCAUAAGCCAGCUUGACUGCGAGCGUGACGGCGCGAGCAGGUGCGAAAGCAGGUCAUAGUGAUCCGGUGGUUCUGAAUGGAAGGGCCAUCGCUCAACGGAUAAAAGGUACUCCGGGGAUAACAGGCUGAUACCGCCCAAGAGUUCAUAUCGACGGCGGUGUUUGGCACCUCGAUGUCGGCUCAUCACAUCCUGGGGCUGAAGUAGGUCCCAAGGGUAUGGCUGUUCGCCAUUUAAAGUGGUACGCGAGCUGGGUUUAGAACGUCGUGAGACAGUUCGGUCCCUAUCUGCCGUGGGCGCUGGAGAACUGAGGGGGGCUGCUCCUAGUACGAGAGGACCGGAGUGGACGCAUCACUGGUGUUCGGGUUGUCAUGCCAAUGGCACUGCCCGGUAGCUAAAUGCGGAAGAGAUAAGUGCUGAAAGCAUCUAAGCACGAAACUUGCCCCGAGAUGAGUUCUCCCUGAGACUUUAGGUCUCCUGAAGGAACGUUGAAGACGACGACGUUGAUAGGCCGGGUGUGUAAGCGCAGCGAUGCGUUGAGCUAACCGGUACUAAUGAACCGUGAGGCUUAACCUUACAACGCCGAAG